CCGGCCCGUCCCUGCUCCCCGCACCAAGUCAGUGGUGCGUGUCCCCAGUCCUGUCCGGCCCGUCCCUGCUCCCCGCACCAGGUUAGUGGUGCGUGUCCCCAGUCCUGUCCGGCCCGUCCCUGCUCCCCGCACCAAGUCAGUGGUGCGUGUCCCCAGUCCUGUCCGGCCCGUCCCUGCUCCCCGCACCAGGUUAGUGGUGCGUGUCCCCAAUCCUGUUCCGGUCGACGGCUCCGCUCCGGAGCCUGAGCAUGCCGCUCCACAGUGGUCCAGUCCGGGCCAGAGGGGUAGGGUUAAGGUGAAGGCGGGGGAGAGAACACGCCCGGGGCCAGAGC
rnacentral:lncRNA from 1 species